rnacentral:rRNA from 1 species
UACGUAGGGUGCGAGCGUUGUCCGGAAUUACUGGGCGUAAAGAGCUCGUAGGUGGUUUGUCGCGUUGUCCGUGAAAUUCCCCUGGCUUAACUGGGGGCGUGCGGGCGAUACGGGCAGACUGGAGUACUGCAGGGGAGGACUGGAAUUCCUGGUGUAGCGGUGGAAUGCGCAGAUAUCAGGAGGAACACCGGUGGCGAAGGCGGGUCUCUGGGCAGUAACUGACGCUGAGGAGCGAAAAGCGUGGGGGAGCGAAACAGG